rnacentral:rRNA from 1 species
UACGGAGGAUGCGAGCGUUAUCCGGAUUUAUUGGGUUUAAAGGGUGCGUAGGCGGGCAUUUAAGCCGGCGGUCAAAUGUCGGGGCUCAACCCCGGCCUGCCGUCGGAACUGGGUGCCUUGAGUGGGCGAGAAGUAUGCGGAAUGCGUGGUGUAGCGGUGAAAUGCAUAGAUAUCACGCAGAACCCCGAUUGCGAAGGCAGCAUACCGGCGCCCUACUGACGCUGAGGCACGAAAGUGCGGGUAUCGAACAG